CGCUGCAUUCCUCUCUCCACCACGGGAGCCAUCGCCACUCCACGAUUCUGUCUCUCCAUAUUUCCGUCCCAUCCUAAACAAUUUCAAAUACAGUAAGAUCAGCCAAAACCCCGCUAUGAUUUUCUUAAGUUAACUGCGUUUCCCAAUUACUUGACCAAUUAAUAUAUUGCCAUCUAUGGACGUGGGAGAAAAAGAGAGAGAGGUGCAGUACCGAGGGACAUGUCGAAACCACGGUGAGUGAGCUCGCGGUACUCCUGACACAAAGAACAUGUCUCGCAACAGAAAUGAACAAGACAGUCUCCACAAGGGCUCUCUUUCAACAUCAACUGCUUCCUCAAUUUGGUGCGGUACGAGCAGGAGAAGAGACAGGCGCAGGUCGUGAAAUAUCAAUCUGCCCAAAAGUAAUGCAUGGACACCAGCACGUGAUACAACCUGCAACACAAGUGAUGAACAUUUAUAAUAAGUUGAAGAGCUUUCAUCGGAGACAACAGGGUCUUGAGAAGCACAUACAGUUUGUGACGUCCGAGAAGCAAUCACAAAGGCCGGUGGACCAAGGGACCUCAGUUCCAGGUUGAAGACCACCGGUGGAGCUAAUCGGAAUACCCGUGGCCAUCGCGGGUUGACUGGAGGUAUAAGGAGGCGCUGAGGGCGGAGGUGAAGCCGAGAAUUUCUGGUAAUCGUUUUGGUACAUGAUUCAGUAAUAGAAUUAUGGAGUGAUUUGAAACGAUAAUUCAGAAAGAUUGAAAGAGGAGUUUUCUGCUGAUAAA